rnacentral:lncRNA from 1 species
GGAGUAGGACACACCUUUCUGCAGAUACGUGUCCACAUGCAUCAUGCUUUAAGUAUCUGCUUUCAUGGGGUAACUCACUCGGUAUGUUUCUUAAGAGGAUGUGACUAACUGGAAAAUAUUUUAUGGCUGACAACAUGAGUAAGCAUGUAAUAAAAGUUUAAGUUUUGGUGUUUGCUAAAUUUCGGUUCUGAUUUGGAAGAUACAUACAUUAUUUUUUGAGUUUGCUUUACUUAGAGUAUGAACUGAUGCUUUUCAAAGAUACACGUUCAAGCUGAAGAGUUAAGUGUAUUAGCUUGGCUUGGACUCGGGGGUUUGUCCAAACGUAGCUUUAUGGUUUUUACUCUACGUAUGCAAUUACAAUCUUCACAAAUAAGGAUGGAGAGGGGAAGAAAAAUGUUGGUGGACAAAAAAAGAAAGUGCCUAGAACGUGCAAGAAUUUUAAGCAGGUUGGCUUCCAUGAUAGCGUAAUUGCCCUAACAAUAACUAAGAAAACUACUGGUACUUUUCAUGGCCAUACAAUUUAUUUUUCUUUCAGAAAUGUUGAUACACACACAAACUUAUUUGUUUAUGUCAGACUGCAGGUCUUGUUCCAGCUCCAGGACGCAUUUCGGCACGACAACUUGGCGUUGAAGCUCAUGUGUUGGACGGAUUUUACAUGAACUUUGUGCUUUAUAUUUCCUAGAAGAUUAUCAUUUUAUUUCGGAAUAUUGUAGGUCUGUUGAAUAUUUAUAUCUGAAUAUUGUAUUUUUGAAAAUUUAUGUCUGAAUAUUCAUCAAAAUGGCCAUGGUGGAAUUUUGUUUCGCAAUGCAAGAAUAUUAUUUCUCACAGCAAGUUGUUUGCCGUAACCUCUCUUACGGACUCUUUUGGCACGGAAGUAGCUACGGAUGGAAGUGUAAAUCUGUGGUUGGUUAGUGGUGGGACCCUCAACCAAAUUCAAGGGGAGAGAGAUUAAUG